GCCACUUUUAAAUUACCACCUUAGAUUAUUUUAUUAAUCUAAGAUUACCACAAACAAUACCACAAAACAGAGUGCGCCACAGAGUGCGCUCAAACAACGCACACAUAGACACUCAAUGUCACUGACACGAUAUCUCGGACCGAUUGAGACUAGUGCGAGCGCGAGUGCUAUCCGCUUGAGACUCGUGUGACGCAUUUAUGUGCAAAAAUGGAACAACAAAGUAAAGCUUAUUAUAACUGUUCGGUGUACGGUUGUUUAAAUUCAACAUUAAACAGCGAAUACUCGUUUUUUAAGGUACCAGCUGUAUUAGAGAAGCGAAAUAAGUGGUUGAGAUUGAUGCAUAGAGAAGAUUUAAUUGAUUCAAGUCGCAGUCGUCCUCGUGUGUGUGAAGCUCAUUUCAGUCCCAGCUCCAUCAGUACAUUUUCAAGUCGAAAGUUGUUAAAACAAAACUCAAUACCACAACUGCUCCUACCAACAAAUAAUUUCGAGAGUAAAGGAAUUCAAACAACAAGUAUAGAAACAGUCAAUGCAAAUUCACAAUGUGAUUAUAACUUGAUGACAAAUGCUCAAGUACAAACUCCGUUAUACCUUUUAAAUGAUACUCCUGGUAAAAGAAUACUCUUGAGUGAAAUUCAAAGAUUUCGAAAAAGGAUAAAACUAGAAGACGAUACACAGUCUAGUGAAGCCAACACGUUUAAUAAGUUAUGUGACAAAUUUUUGACCCCAAACUUAGCGCGUGUUGUUAAACAACAGACCAAAAUUAAAACUGAUGGACAUGGGUUUGGAAACAGAUACAAUUUAGACUACAAAAUUUUCUGUUUGAAUUUAUACUACGUAAGUCCACAGGCAUACAGUAUGUUGAAAGACACUUUAUGUUUACCAAGUAAACAAACACUAAUGAAAAUGUAUAUGCCUAUAACUACAAAAAUUUAUAGUCAUCUCAUGGAUGUUCUUAAAACCAAAGUACAAUUUAUGAGUGAUAUGAAUAGAAAUUGUGCACUUGUCAUUGACGCCAUAAGUCUUAAAACGAAUUUAUUUUACAAUAUUAAAGAAGACAAAGUUUAUGGUUUCCAUGAAGUUGACGGUGUGCAAUCUCCUGAGCCUGCGAAGUACGCUUUGGUAGCAAUGAUCCAUGGCUUAAAUGAAAAUUAUGUGCAGCCAGUAGGUUUUGCAUUAUUAGCUGAAUGUAAAAAACACCCAAGCAUAACAGAUUGGAUUGAUAACGUAAUCUUAGAACUUUUUUCAAUCGGUUUCCAUGUUCGAAGUUUAGUGUCAGAUAUGAGUUCCGAUUUUUUUAAUUGUGCCAGAAAAAGAUCAGUGUCUGCAGAAAGUCCCUUUUUUUUCGUUGGCGACAGAAAGAUAUAUUAUAUCUUUGAUCCACCUCACUUAAUCAAAUACGUGCGAAAUAUCUUGAUUGACUAUGAAUUUCAUUUUGAUAACGAUGUGGCCAAAUGGCAUCACAUACUUGAGUUUUAUGAGAUGGAUAAGUUGAAACGAUUUAGACUUGCCCCGAAACUUACAGACAGUCAUAUUAAACCCACAAAGCUUGAGAGGAGGGAGAUAAAGUACGCUGUGCAAGUUCUUAGUGCUACCGUUGCAGCCGGCUUAUCUACAUACAGGGACUUUGGCGUAAUAGAAAAUUCUGCAAAAGGCACAGUUAAACUGAUUGAAAUUAUGAACGAUCUGUUUGACAUUUUUAAUGCAUCAUCUCGCUAUGGAAGCAAACAAUAUCAAAACGCCUUUUGUGGCGAAGAAUUUCAGAUUGCUUAUGUUAAUAGCAUGCUGAAUUUUUUUGAGUCAUUGAAAUUAAUUAACCCUAAGAAUGGCCAAAAUGUUACAUCUAAAGUGAAGUUCAUUGAAGGUUUCCAAAUAACAUUAAAGUCUUUAUUAAUGUUGUUUGAAGAUUUAAGAAUUGAAGGAUUUUCAUAUGUACUGACCAAAAGAUUAAGUCUGGACUGUUUAGAAAACUUCUUAGGUCAGAUUAGGACAAAGAAAGGAAAUUCUACGGAACCAACAUCCAGGCAGCUGGUUUCAGCGUUUAGAAAAAAGUUUUUCAAAAAUAUUUUAAUGUGGCCUAAAAGUGGUAACUGUACAGAAGAUUUAACAAAAUGUUUACUCGAUGCUGAAAAAUUAUUGGAUCCCUUAGCCAAUGAGCCAGGUGAUUCAGAAACCACUUCGAUAAUGGUAACAAAAGAGAGUAAUAGUUGCGCCAAAAUUUAUUUAAUAUCAACUACAGAUUAUAACACACUUGACUUACCGGAAAAAGACGCGUUAGUUUACGUCAGUGAGUAUUUGUUAAAGAAAUGCUUACAUCACCACAACGAAUGUAAUGAGCUUAUAGCUUAUACAGAAGGAGAAGACAUUGCACCAGAGUUUUUAGAAUUUGUCAGAUCAAUGGAGGAACGAUUCUGCAACUUUUUCAAGAGGAACUACUUGAACUGUGAAAUCCUGAAAAAUCUCCUAAAUGAGAUAGAAACUAUAACUUUUUCAAUGCCUUGCAAGUGUUUUCCAUUAACUUAUUGCAAACAAUUGUACUUAAGAAUGCGAAUUUAUUACACUUUAAAAUCUAAUAAUCGUGCAUUUCGCCAAUGCCAAAAUCGUUGCAAGUUAUUUUCUGUGACAAAUUUGUAAUAGGUACCAUUGAUACUAAAACUUAUAAUAUAUUAUAAUUGAAAUGUUA